rnacentral:sRNA from 1 species
CACCUCGACUGCGAAUUACUGUUUAUGAGGUGACUUGCUGGUUCUAUCGGUGGACAGUGGGACAUUCUGAAGGGAGGCAAGGAGGCGGACUGAGCGCUCCCAAUUGGGGUGAGCCCGCCCGAGCGGAGAGUGGACGGCGGGUGCCCAGGGGGCGGGGCUUUCGGCUGUGGGGUUCGGUCGUAGGGCGGGAACUCCCCAACUGGGGUGCGCUGGCGCUCGAAGGGGGCGGGGCCACAGGCUGCGAGGCUGCCGGGAGCCGAUGACGCCCGAACGCCGAACCUAUGGCGUCCGGGAGGAGGCGGGGCUGCGGAUUCGGCCGAGCCGAGAACACCCGAACGUCAAAUUGCUGGCGUUCGAAAAGGGGGCGGGGCUGCGGAUUCGGUGGAGCCGAGGACGCCCGAAUGCCGAACUUCCUGUGCUCGGGAGGGGGCAGGGUUUUGUACUGUGGGAGUCUGAGAGCGAGGAGGUCCGAAAGCCGAAUCACAGUCGUUCGGAAAGAGGAGGAGCGAAGGCCCGAGCGUCCGGAAGAGGGUGUGGCCUCGGCGGUGCCUUAGCCUCCAGAGCUUCUGACCGCUGACGGGAACACCCGAAGGGUGACGCCCACUUUGCAAGAGGGUGGUGCCAAAAUGGUCCUUUGUAAGGGGGCGUGUCGCCGCGCUUGCGGAGGUUUGUUUUUCACACUCCAAGGCGCAAUGGUAGGUACGGCAGUGCGGGCACAGAGCGGGUGCCGACCGCAGGGUCACAAGGGUAGAGCGAGGUCCCGGGGGCUUGGCGAGGGGCGAGGGUCGGGGGUUUGUCUCCGGCGGCCGCGAGGCCUGGUGGGAUCGCCCGGGGGCGGGGCCUGGCGCUCGGGCCCAGCAGGUGGUGAACGGCGGCUGAGCGAGGCCCCGCCCCCUGAGGCCUAGGGGCGGGGCUUCGCCGAGACCCCGGAGGCUUUGGGUGCUCUGCAGCGGUCCGCGGCGCGCAGCUGUUUCGGUAACUGCUUUGCCUCCCGGCUCCCGCAGGAGGAUGCUGGUGGUGGAGGUGGCGAACGGCCGCUCCCUGGUGUGGGGAGCCGAGGCGGUGCAGGCCCUCCGGGAGCGCCUGGGUGUGGGGGGCCGCACGGUAGGCGCCCUGCCCCGCGGGCCCCGCCAGAACUCGCGCCUGGGCCUCCCGCUGCUGCUGAUGCCCGAAGAGGCGCGGCUCUUGGCCGAGAUCGGCGCCGUGACUCUGGUCAGCGCCCCGCGUCCAGACUCUCGGCACCACAGCCUGGUAAGGGGGCGGGGCUCGAACUCCUGGGUUCGGUGGGAGCGGGACCUGGGAGUCAAGUUUCCUGGCUUCCGAAGGGACCAUAAGCUUGGAGGUUCCAGCGAAGUGUGCUUCUCAGGCCCUGACAUCCUUCAAGCGCCAGCAAGAGGAGAGCUUCCAGGAGCAGAGCGCCUUGGCAGCUGAGGCCCGGGAGACCCGUCGUCAGGAGCUCCUGGAGAAGAUUACGGAGGGCCAGGCUGCUAAGAAGCAGAAACUAGAACAGGCUUCAGGGGCCAGCUCGAGCCAGGAGGCCGGCUCGAGCCAGGCUGCCAAAGAGGAUGAGACCAGUGAUGGCCAGGCUUCGGGAGAGCAGGAGGAAGCCGGCCCCUCGUCUUCCCAAGCAGGACCCUCAAAUGGGGUAGCCCCCUUGCCCAGAUCUGCUCUCCUUGUCCAGCUGGCCACUGCCAGGCCUCGACCGGUCAAGGCCAGGCCCCUGGACUGGCGUGUCCAGUCUAAAGACUGGCCCCACGCUGGCCGCCCUGCCCACGAGCUGCGCUACAGUAUCUACAGAGACCUGUGGGAGCGAGGCUUCUUCCUCAGUGCGGCUGGCAAGUUCGGAGGUGACUUCCUGGUCUAUCCUGGUGACCCCCUCCGCUUCCACGCCCAUUAUAUCGCUCAGUGCUGGGCCCCCGAGGACACCAUCCCACUCCAAGACCUGGUUGCUGCUGGGCGCCUUGGAACCAGCGUCAGAAAGACCCUGCUCCUCUGUUCUCCGCAGCCUGAUGGUAAGGUGGUCUACACCUCCCUGCAAUGGGCCAGCCUGCAGUGAACUCCAGAGACCUAGGGGAUGUGGCUGUGUCGGCAGCAAGAGCCUUUCUGGAUGUUCCCCAGCUCUUCUCUAGGAGUCUAGAACAUCCUCCUACCUUUCUCCGCGGUUAGUUUUUGAUUCCAGGUUUUCGAACACUACAUCUUUUUUAUGUUCUUCCUUGUUUCAAAGCACUUAUUGGCUGUGUUUUUGUAGUUACCUAUUUUCACACUGUGAGCUUCCCGAGAAUGGGGCCUGGGUUUGAUUCAUCUGUUUUCUACAGGGUUUAAGUCUCAGGAGGUCUCAAUAAACUUGUUACAUAAAUGUU